CGGGGAAUAGCUCAGAUGGCUAGAGCGUACGGUUUGGGACCGUAAGGCCGCAGGUUCGAGUCCUGUUUCCCCGA
rnacentral:tRNA from 2 species